CGGUGUUUAACUGGCGUGAUGUGGGACGUCCUACCGGUGGGCUUAGCCUCGCGAGGGGGCGGCCCAACUAAUAUCCCGUCGCGGUGCUCUUUACUGAGUGUCGAGUCGGGCCGGUACGUUUACUUUGAACAAUUAGAGUGCUUAAAGCAGGCUAUCCUCGCCUGAAUACUGCGUGCAUGGGAAUAAUGGAAUAGGACUCGGUUCUAUUUGUUGGUUUCGGAACCCCGAGGUAAUGAUUAUAGGGACAGAUGGGGGCAUUCGUAUGCGACGUUAGAGGUGAAAUUCUUGGAUCGUCGCAAGACGGACAGAAGCGAAAGCAUUUGCCCAAAAAUGUUUUCAUUAAUCAAGAACGAAAGUAGAGGUUCGAAGGCGAUCAGAUACCGCCCUAGUUCUAACCAUAAACGAUGCCAGCUAGCGAUCCGCCGAAGUUCCUCCGAUGACUCGGCGGGCAGCUUCCGGGAAACCAAAGCUUUUGGGUUCCGGGGGAAGUAUGGUUGCAAAGCUGAAACUUAAAGGAAUUGACGGAAGGGCACCACCAGGAGUGGAGCCUGCGGCUUAAUUUGACUCAACACGGGAAACCUCACCAGGCCCAGACACCGGAAGGAUUGACAGAUUGAUAGCUCUUUCUUGAUUCGGUGGGUGGUGGUGCAUGGCCGUUCUUAGUUGGUGGAGUGAUUUGUCUGGUUAAUUCCGAUAACGAACGAGACCUUAACCUGCUAAAUAGCCAGGCCGGCUUCGGCUGGUCUCUGGCUUCUUAGAGGGACUGUCAGCGUCUAGCUGACGG
rnacentral:rRNA from 1 species